rnacentral:rRNA from 1 species
UACGGAGGGUGCAAGCGUUAUCCGGAUUCACUGGGUUUAAAGGGUGCGUAGGCGGGCAGGUAAGUCAGUGGUGAAAUCUCCGGGCUUAACCCGGAACUGCCGUUGAUACUAUCUGUCUUGAAUAUCGUGGAGGUAAGCGGAAUAUGUCAUGUAGCGGUGAAAUGCUUAGAUAUGACAUAGAACACCAAUUGCGAAGGCAGCUUGCUACACAGUUAUUGACGCUGAGGCACGAAAGCGUGGGGAUCAAACAGG